rnacentral:lncRNA from 1 species
AAUAGCUUCCCCAUGAGUAGCCGAGGCAGAGCCUCCUCAGAGAGGUGUCAUGCACAGGGAGCAUGGUAAGAGAAAGGAAAGUAGACAGCAGUGACACAGCAAUGCAAGGAGACAGAAGGUGACUCCAUUGACUUUGGCCUGACCCUGACUGUGAGUGAACAGCGAUGUGGCCGAUGAGCUAAUCUGAGGGAAAACAAAAGCUGAGAGAAGACAACUAUAAGCUUGGAUGUGUUCGGGGCAUCUGGAGAGGCGGCCCAUGUAAGGCCAGGUCCGGCAUUCGUGAUCCAGGAUGAAGACGGGAAAGGAUUCAGCCAUUCACAGUGACACAGAGGUCUCAGAG